rnacentral:rRNA from 1 species
ACCAGACUCCUACGGGAGGCAGCAGUGGGGAAUAUUGCACAAUGGGGGAAACCCUGAUGCAGCGACGCCGCGUGAGUGAGGAAGUAUUUCGGUAUGUAAAGCUCUAUCAGCAGGGAAGAAAAUGACGGUACCUGACUAAGAAGCCCCGGCUAACUACGUGCCAGCAGCCGCGGUAAUACGUAGGGGGCAAGCGUUAUCCGGAUUUACUGGGUGUAAAGGGAGCGUAGACGGACUUGCAAGUCUGAUGUGAAAAUCCGGGGCCCAACCCCGGGACUGCUUUGGAAACUGUAUGGCUGGAGUGCUGGAGAGGCAAGCGGAAUUCCUAGUGUAGCGGUGAAAUGCGUAGAUAUUAGGAAGAACACCAGUGGCGAAGGCGGCUUGCUGGACAGUAACUGACGUUGAGGCUCGAAAGCGUGGGGAGCAAACAGGAUUAGAUACCCUCGUAC